AGGGGUGACUGCGUACCUUUUGUAUAAUGGGUCAGCGACUUACGUUCAGUAGCGAGCUUAACCGAGUAGGGGAGGCGUAGCGAAAGCGAGUCUGAUAAGGGCGUCAGAGUUGCUGGGCGUAGACCCGAAACCGGAUGAUCUAUCCAUGGCCAGGAUGAAGGUGCCGUAACAGGUACUGGAGGUCCGAACCCACUAACGUUGAAAAGUUAGGGGAUGAGCUGUGGAUAGGGGUGAAAGGCUAAACAAAUCCGGAAAUAGCUGGUUCUCCCCGAAAACUAUUUAGGUAGUGCGUCGUACGGACACUUGCGGGGGUAGAGCACUGUAAUCGUUGGGGGGGUCAUUGCGAUCUACCCCGCGAUAGCAAACUCCGAAUACCGCAAAGUGAUAUACGGCAGACAGACAUCGGGUGCUAACGUCCGGUGUCAAGAGGGAAACAACCCAGACCGCCAGCUAAGGUCCCAAAUGCAUGGCUAAGUGGCAAACGAGGUGGGAAGGCAUAGACAGCUAGGAGGUUGGCUUAGAAGCAGCCAUCCUUUAAAGAAAGCGUAAUAGCUCACUAGUCGAGUCGUCCUGCGCGGAAGAUGUAACGGGGCUCAAGCCAUGAACCGAAGCUGCGGAUGUGUCUUUGACACGUGGUAGGGGAGCGUUCCGUAAGCCUGCGAAGGUGUCUCGUAAGGGAUGCUGGAGGUAUCGGAAGUGCGAAUGCUGACAUGAGUAGCGAUAAAGGGUGUGAAAAGCACCCUCGCCGUAAGCCCAAGGUUUCCUGCGCAACGUUCAUCGGCGCAGGGUGAGUCGGCCCCUAAGGCGAGGCAGAAAUGCGUAGUCGAUGGGAAACAGGUCAAUAUUCCUGUACCGCUCUAUGAUGCGAUGGGGGGACGGAGAAGGUUAGCUCGGCCAUCUGUUGGAAUAGGUGGUUCAAGUGUGUAGGCGUGCUGCGUAGGCAAAUCCGCGCGGCUUAGCUGAGGCAUGAUAACGAGGAUCCUCGGAUCCGAAGCGAGUAAUACCCAGCUUCCAGGAAAAGCCUCUAAGCUUCAGUCAUAGAGUGACCGUACCGCAAACCGACACAGGUGGGCUGGUAGAGAAUACCAAGGCGCUUGAGAGAACUCAGGAGAAGGAACUCGGCAAAUUGAUACCGUAACUUCGGGAGAAGGUAUGCCCCUGGUACGUGAAGGCCCUCGCGGCCGGAGCGGAACGGGGUCGCAGAGAAUCGGUGGCUGCGACUGUUUAUUAAAAACACAGCACUCUGCAAACACGAAAGUGGACGUAUAGGGUGUGACGCCUGCCCGGUGCCGGAAGGUUAAGUGAUGGGGUGCAAGCUCUUGAUCGAAGCCCCGGUAAACGGCGGCCGUAACUAUAACGGUCCUAAGGUAGCGAAAUUCCUUGUCGGGUAAG
rnacentral:rRNA from 1 species